rnacentral:rRNA from 1 species
UACGGAGGGUGCAAGCGUUGCUCGGAAUUAUUGGGCGUAAAGGGUAGGUAGGUGGUCUCAUUUGUCUGAGGUGAAAGCCCAGGGCUUAACCUUGGAAGUGCCUCAGAAACGGUGAGACUGGAGUACUGGAGAGGGUCGUGGAAUUCCCGGUGUAGCGGUGAAAUGCGUAGAGAUCGGGAGGAACACCAGAGGCGAAGGCGGCGACCUGGACAGUGACUGACACUCAACCACGAAAGCGUGGGGAGCAAACAGG